UGGCCUCGGAUCAGGGAGGAUC
rnacentral:rRNA from 1 species